rnacentral:rRNA from 1 species
GACGAACGCUGGCGGCGUGCUUAACACAUGCAAGUCGAACGGAAAGGCGCUGAUUGCGGGGUACUCGAGUGGCGAACGGGUGAGUAACACGUGGGUGAUCUGCCCUGCACUUCGGGAUAAGCCAGGGAAACAGGGUGUAAUAACGGAUAGGAGCCAUUUUUAGUGUGAUGGUUGGAAAGUUUUUGCGGUGUAGGAUGAGCUUGCCGCCUAUCAGCUUGUUGGUGGGGUAAUGGCCUACCAAGGCGGCGAAGGGUAGCCGGCCUGAGAGGGUGGACGGCCACAUUGGUCCUGAGGUACGGCCCAGUCUCCUACCGGAGGCAGCAGUGGGGAGUAUUGCACAAUGGGCGCAAGCCUGAUGCAGCGACGCCGCGUUGGGGAUGACGGCCUUCGGGUUGUAAACUCCUUUCGCUAGGGACGAAGCUUUUGUGACGGUACCUAGAUAAGAAGCACCGGCUAACUACGUG